UAGGGUGAAACUCAUGUGGUUCCACACUUUGAAAAUGCAUCCCGCAUAAAGUGGUGAGACCCACAUGGGUUUCACCCA
rnacentral:pre_miRNA from 1 species